ACGGGAGGCAGCAGUGGGGAAUAUUGCACAAUGGGGGAAACCCUGAUGCAGCGACGCCGCGUGAGUGAAGAAGUAUUUCGGUAUGUAAAGCUCUAUCAGCAGGGACGAAUUCGGACGGUACCUGACUAAGAAGCCCCGGCUAACUACGUGCCAGCAGCCGCGGUAAUACGUAGGGGGCAAGCGUUAUCCGGAUUUACUGGGUGUAAAGGGAGCGUAGACGGUCCGGCAAGUCUGAUGUGAAAUCCCAGGGCUUAACCCUGGGACUGCAUUGGAAACUGUUGGACUAGAGUGCAGGAGAGGUAAGUGGAAUUCCUAGUGUAGCGGUGAAAUGCGUAGAUAUUAGGAGGAACACCAGUGGCGAAGGCGGCUUACUGGACUGUAACUGACGUUGAGGCUCGAAAGCGUGGGGAGCAAACAGGAUUAGAUACCCUGGUA
rnacentral:rRNA from 3 species